UACGAAGGGGACUAGCGUUGUUCGGAAUCACUGGGCGUAAAGCGCACGUAGGCGGAUUUGUAAGUCAGGGGUGAAAUCCCGGGGCUCAACCUCGGAACUGCCUUUGAUACUGCGAAUCUUGAGUCCGAUAGAGGUGGGUGGAAUUCCUAGUGUAGAGGUGAAAUUCGUAGAUAUUAGGAAGAACACCAGUGGCGAAGGCGGCCCACUGGAUCGGUACU
rnacentral:rRNA from 1 species